ACCGUUCCAAGCUAGAUAAAAACUGGGACUGAAGGACAGAAGGUUUCUGGUUUUUCCACUGGAUUCCUGGAGGAAGACCGGACCCAUCUCACUGCCACUGGACUUUCUACAGGACCAUCUCUACUCCACAGAACCACAUCUGUUACUCCAGGAGGACUUAUUUGGACUUCUUCCAACACCCUGACCAACAGGGUGUCAGAUUUGGUUUCCCAUGAAGAAACUCCACUGUAUAAAGUAAAAUUGCUGAGGUUUGAAGCAGUAUGAGACAACUGGAGAUGAUUUGAAUUCAUAUCAAAGGACUCAUACCACUGAUAAUGAUGAAGAACUGAUUCUCCUGUGAAGGAAACAAAGAGUAUGCUAAUUGCAGAGGACACUGCUGAAGUUCUGCUUGGUGCUGAAGAGAUACUGAUUAAAGAACAAACUCUGGAAAUAUGUGCUACAAGUACUGUCUCACUUAGUAUCCUUUGCAAAAAAAGUUGUUACAUCUUUUGUCAAGAAUAAAUUGGGAGACCUGGCAGUAGAGGAAUUGGAGCACAUAUCAAGAUUAGUGUUUUGACUAUCAGAAACUUCUUGCAUUAAGAAUUUUACUUGAAAGCUUAAGAAGAAAAUAACUAUAUUUGAAAUUGUGUAAAGUGAACUCUGAGGACAAAAUUUAACAGUUCUGUGGGAAAAAUUCUGAAAGCUACUUUUCCAUUCUGAUUACAUACUGCUGAUCAUAGGAUUAAGAAUUCUCUUCAGUUUGAAACUCUGAUGGUGAGAAAAACUAAAAUCUCUAAUGUGUAAGACAUUUAGCAUGACUAAAAUACUAUUUCUCCAAUCUGUUUAGUGUACAGUAUGUGGAAUUGUUGCCACAUUAAACAGCCUUUCAAGUAAAUAACUUGUUAAGGUGAAGAGAAAAUAAGAAUCACUACUUUUUGGCAAAAAAAUAUGCCAAACUUCCUUAAAGUUUGAACUGUGAAAUAUGAUAAAAAAUUGCAGGCAUUUUAGUCAUCUUGGGAAAAAAAAAAAAAAAUCAGUCAUUUCCCUGCAUCAAUCAGGAUCAAGAUAAUAGUCAUGCAAAUACUAGAAUCCAGGUGAAAUUUUUUUGCUGUAUUCUGAAUGUGACUUGUGCUGAGACUGGUUUUGAAGCCGGGUAAACCUUUAGAGGUACUUUGAUCUAAACAGGAGUCUGCAGUAUUUUUGUUUGAUGAUCUAUAUAUAAAAAUGCUGGUAAAUUUAAAUUAGUUCAAAA